GGGAUUUCCUGAAUUUCUUGAUGGUUGCGUCCUUUCUCUGAAGGAUCAAACUCCGGUGAAGUUCUUGGGACGAUAUAAUGCAAACAUGGGGCUCAACAAGACGUGCUAGUUGAUAUGGUUGCAUAAAGUCAUUUUUACAAGCAGAGAUUGGUACACCUUAUCAACACAACUACGUAAGACUCUUGCUUAAGUUUCUUUUUUCGCAUAGAGGAAUAC